rnacentral:rRNA from 1 species
CACUCUAGAGAGACUGCCAGGGAUAACCUGGAGGAAGGUGGGGAUGACGUCAAAUCAUCAUGCCCCUUAUGCUUAGGGCUACACACGUGCUACAAUGGGUAGUACAGAGGGUUGCCAAGCCGUAAGGUGGAGCUAAUCCCUUAAAGCUACUCUUAGUUCGGAUUGUAGGCUGAAACUCGCCUACAUGAAGCUGGAGUUACUAGUAAUCGCAGAUCAGAAUGCUGCGGUGAAUGCGUUCCCGGGUCUUGUACACACCGCCCGUCACCCCACGGGAGUUGGAGACGCCCGAAGCCGAUACGCUCACCUUUCUGGAGCAGUCGCUGCGGGUGGAAUCAAUAACUGGGGCGCAGUCGUAACAAGGUCGCCGUAUCGGAAGGUGCGGAUGGAUCACCUCCUUUCUAAGGAGA